CCCCCCGCCUCUCUCUGUCCCUCUCCUCUCUCUCUUUCUUUCCUUCUCUCGGCCGCAACCCCUCUCCUUUCCCCUCCCUUCUCUCUCCCCCACCCCAGGCUGCGAGGACGCAGCCAGGGAGCCUGGACAGACACAGCCUGUGCUGCCGGCCCGUCCCAGCCCACAGACCCGGCCGAGUCAACCUCUUCUCUACGCGUCGCCCAUGCCUGGUGUUCUGUUCAGAGAGAGGAUGGACUGAGACACUGGGCUGGUCUCAGCCAGCAAUCUGAAGGCCAAGGCUGCCGUGGACCUUCCGGAUAACACACCAAACACUCUGUACCGAGAGGGAAGACGAAAGGGGGGGCCAGGAAGCGCUGAGCUGAGAGCACAUUGCAGCGUCACUGUAGCUCUCAAACACAGUUUCAAAAAUGCAAGAUAAGCCAGCAACCGUAUGGGUGGUCAGGGGCUGAGCCUUCUCAAUAAACCGCCCUGGCUGUUACCAGAAGCCCAAUGGACCGAAUGAGCCCGGUGUCCUGACGGCCUUUCCCGCCGUCUCACCACUUCCAGGCACCACCCAGGUGCAAGCAGGCACUGCUUACCGCCCCCGGGACACCCAGGGCCGAGAGCCAGCAGCGGAAGGCCCGGGCCCAGCCUCCAGAGCCGCGGGUUUGAGGAGUCAGACAAUGAGCAGGCACUGCAGCGGCGGCAAGAACAGGGCGGAGGGAAGGACAGCUCUCUGCUGUGGCCUGGGAAGACAGUAGAAGAUGGCCAAGAUGGCCAAGAUGGCCCAAGUCCUUGGGCCCCUGCACCUGCGUCGGAGACCUGGAAGAAGCUCCUGGAUCCUGGCUCUUGGCUUUGGAUCGGCGCAGCUCCAGCCGUUGCAGCCAAUUGGGGAGUGAACAUCAGAUGGAAGACCUCUCUCUCUCUCUGCCUCUCCUCUCUCUGUGUAACUCUGACUUUCAAGUAAAAAAUAAAUAAAUCUUUAGCAAAAAAAAUA